rnacentral:lncRNA from 1 species
GUUGUCUUGUCUUAGGGCUUGAUUCUUCAUCAGUGGUCAAUAUCUUCCAUUUUAUUAUGCUGAUAGUGUAUAGCUGUCUCCUGGUUUAAUUUGCACUUAUUGUUAAAGAUGGGCCUCUUUUCUAUGUGCCUGUUGCCACCUUCUGUUCAAGCCAUUGAAGCAGUGGAGAUAGGCUUUUCAAAGUGUUCUCCCCGUUCAUGGCUUAAGUCUUUAUUUUGUUGUGCUUUUUAAACUGUCUUACAUUGUGUAGCUUAACACUAUGUAGUUGAGUAUGACCUUGAACCUCUUGAUCCUCCCGUGUCUACUUUAUGAAUGCCAGGAUUGUAUGUGUAUAGCACCAUACUUAGCUAUGACUCACAAUAUUUUAAUGAAAAAAUAUACAUUUUAAAAAUUUUUUAAUCUUUUUUAGGAUUCAUGCGUAUUUGUGAUUAUAUGUUAUAUCUGUGCAGAUGCUCUUAGAGAUCAGUCUCAUAACUGGUACUGUAGACACCCAGGAGCUGCUUGGUGUGGGUAUGGAGAGAGAAGACAGGACUUUUGGAAAAGCAGCAGUUGCUUUUAACUGCUGACCAUCACUUCAGCUCCAUGCCUCCAUGUUAAAAAUUAUUAAUUAACACGUAAUUAUUGCACAUGUAUAUGGGCUGCAGUCUGCUGGUUCCACAUGUUGUCUGGGUGGUGAGUUACAGAAUAGUGAGCAUAACCAUCCCUUUAAACAGCCAUCGUUUCCUUGUUGUGAGAGCAUUUGAAUUCCCCUGAUUUGGCCCUUUUUAAAAUUUCAAAUUAAAAAUAACUUGUGAUUAACCUGCUGUGUAACAGAGCAUUUAUUCUUUCCAAUUAUACCUUUAUAUUUUGUUGACCAACUUCAUCCCAGUUCUCCAAAAUCUCUAUAAAUGCUGGUAAAUCCUCUACUUUUUUUAGAGGUACAGUUUUUUAAUUUUUAUUUUCUAUAUUAUUACAUAUAUUAUGUAUGUGGUAUUAUGUAUGUAGGUCUGAGGACAGUUUUAUAGAAACUGUGCGUCCUGUGGAUCAAACUCAGACUUACACAGCAAGCAGUGUUACUGACUGAACCACACAAUACAUACCAUUAAAAAAAGAACUAAACCAUGUUUUUUGCCACAAAAAAAAAGCUUCAAAUAUUCAGAACCAGUUGGUGUUCAUUUCUUCUUAUAAUCCCAAACCUCAGGGCACAGAGCAGACUGGAUUCUCAGAAAAGUUUGAGACUGACCUGGAUACCUUGACUCAGACACACAUUUAAAUAAUCUAAAGAAAAACACUUGAUUUAAAUUCCUGUAUGUUGGUUGGUCUUUCUGUUGUUUUCAUUUGUGGAUUGGUGGAGUGUUGAGAUAGGAUCUCACUGUGUAGCUUUGGCUGGCCUUAAACUCUGUAGGUCGGGCUCUGUUAGAACUCCUCAGAUGCUGCUGCCCCUGCCUCCCAAGUCUUGGAGUAAAGAGAUGCUGUUUGGUUUCAGUUUAAUUGUUUUGUUUUUGUGGUGUGAGAUUUGAGGAAGACAUUCUGUUCCAACCUUAACCUCCACUUAUAAACAUGUACACACAUAAAGAAUCUACAAGCGCUCAUUGAGUUUCAGUCAUUACUGAGGUCUUCCAACAGAAUCUUAAAAAGAAACUGCAGAAUGUUCCCAAGAGUUAUAACUCCUGUGUCCAUUUUCAGAUUUUUCUAUUUGCCUCAGAUGUUUAGAACAAAAAGUGACUGUGAUAGUUUUAAUGUAGACUUCUCUGACAUGGAUAAGAGCUGUGCUGGGCAUUUAAUUCUAGUGCUUGAGGGGCACAGAGGUAAGCAGAUUGCUUGAGUUCAGCUCUCAGAAUUCCUCAGAAAUCUUCACAGAGAAUUAAUUAUCUAACUAUGUUUGGCCUGGAGGCAUGUCUGUAGGAGAUUGCCUUAAGUUAAUUAAAUUGAUUACCAGAUUAAAAGUGGAUAUCACUAUUCCCAGUAUUUGACUCCUGGACCAUUUAAAGAAGCACUCAAAUGUAGGCACACAUGUGAUCCGUAUCUACUCCAGACUGGAUGGCACCUUGAAUGCAAUGGUAGACCAUAAUCUGAAAUUGUAAGCUAAAAUAAACCCUUUCUUUUAUAACUUGCUUUGUUAGGAAAUUUUGUCGCACAAACAAGAAAUAAAAGUAAGAUACUACUUGAGGAUUUUUUGUGGGUGCUUGUAGAAGUAAGGUCAGUCCUUUCAGUGACAGAGUUUACUUUUUUAGUUUUGUUUUGAGGCAGGGUCUCUCUAUGUAGUCUUGGCUGUCUUGAGACUUACUUUAUAGACCAUGCUAAACCUCAGAUUUACCUGUCCGCUUUCUGACUGCUGAGAUUAAAGGUGUAUAAAGCUAUGUUUAAAGUUCGUUUUUUGUUUUUCAAGACGAGAGUCUGC